rnacentral:lncRNA from 10 species
CAGAGUCCCUGUUCUUAACUAGCCUAGGCUACUUCUAAUAUCAUGUUAUGCUAAGAAGUUCCCUGGAUGAGCUAAAAAUUGAGACGAUGUUAGUGCUUUGGGCUCUCUUUACCUAACAUUUCUCUUGAAAUUCUCUUAAGUGGUAACAUUUACUUUUGGAUGCAUUCCAGGGGCCUCCAUAUAUUUGUGCAAGAAUGCGUCAUCCGCAUCUGAAGAUAAGAGAAGUUGCUCUUUACACCAUUGCAAGGAUUCCAAAUUUAUGUGGAGCCACCACUUCUUGAGCCCCUCAUUGCAAAGCCAGGGGAAACAGAAAAGCCCCAAAGUGAUUCUCAUCUAUUUUGAAAGCUGACCUUGGGGCAUGUGUUCAUAUGAACACCUGGAGGCAUUUGGACAUUGUUACCCUUACUCACAGAAACCACCUCACAGGUCAAGACAAACAUCAAAAGUAAUGAAAAAAAAAAAAAUAAGGCAGCAGCUCAAGUGUUUAUUGACUACCAGCUGGGAGCCAGGUAUCUCUGCAUAAGGUAAUGAUGAUUUGGGGACGCCUUUGAUUUGUGUUCUUUUCACCAAAUUAGGGUAUUUGAAAAUGUCACAAAUAAUUAUUUCGUCAAUGAACCAAAGAUGUUAAUUCAGUACCAGGUCUCAUUAUGAACUAAGACAAAAGAUUUGGAGAUUUAUCCUGAACCUUCAGACACCGGAUCUCCAUGCUUGCACAGGGUCUUGUCUGGGACAGUUACUCUAAUACAUGACCCAGAAGCAAUAAGGAUAUUUUAUAUAGGAAUGUAUUCGUAAAUAUUUUUAUACUUUAAAGUAUUUUUUUCAGAGUUAUUUUGGCAGGAAAUCACUAUAUGCUAAAGUAUUCCACAUUAUGGAAGGUAGAAUGGGGACACUGGGAACACCAUUGUUUCCAUCAUCGAGUGGAAAAAUGAGAAUUCUCAACACUCCAAGAUGAAUAGGAAUGUAAUGCUAUAGCUGGAAUGUUUUUUUAAAGUGGCUGACAUGAUUAGAGUAUGGAAACUAAUACAUUAAGGAAACUCCAGUAGUCCAAUUUGUAGACACAGAUGCCUUGAUAUCCCCAUAGAGUGUCUUGCAUUGUAGGCACUGAAUAUAGGCUUUUGGAAUGAUGAUUGAAUUAAAGUCAAACAACAAAACAAAGACUGACAAAAAUCCACACAUUUCCAAGCACACUGGGAACCAUUUGGAUGUGCAAAUAGGCUAUAAUAU